rnacentral:rRNA from 1 species
GGGUUGUGAGGUUAAGCGACUAAGCGUACACGGUGGAUGCCCUGGCAGUCAGAGGCGAUGAAGGACGUGCUAAUCUGCGAUAAGCGUCGGUAAGGUGAUAUGAACCGUUAUAACCGGCGAUUUCCGAAUGGGGAAACCCAGUGUGAUUCGUCACACUAUCAUUAACUGAAUCCAUAGGUUAAUGAGGCGAACCGGGGGAACUGAAACAUCUAAGUACCCCGAGGAAAAGAAAUCAACCGAGAUUCCCCCAGUAGCGGCGAGCGAACGGGGAGCAGCCCAGAGCCUGAAUCAGUGUGUGUGUUAGUGGAAGCGUCUGGAAAGGCGCGCGAUACAGGGUGACAGCCCCGUACACAAAAAUGCACAUACUGUGAGCUCGAUGAGUAGGGCGGGACACGUGGUAUCCUGUCUGAAUAUGGGGGGACCAUCCUCCAAGGCUAAAUACUCCUGACUGACCGAUAGUGAACCAGUACCGUGAGGGAAAGGCGAAAAGAACCCCGGCGAGGGGAGUGAAAAAGAACCUGAAACCGUGUACGUACAAGCAGUGGGAGCACGCUUAGGCGUGUGACUGCGUACCUUUUGUAUAAUGGGUCAGCGACUUAUAUUCUGUAGCAAGGUUAACCGAAUAGGGGAGCCGAAGGGAAACCGAGUCUUAACUGGGCGUUAAGUUGCAGGGUAUAGACCCGAAACCCGGUGAUCUAGCCAUGGGCAGGUUGAAGGUUGGGUAACACUAACUGGAGGACCGAACCGACUAAUGUUGAAAAAUUAGCGGAUGACUUGUGGCUGGGGGUGAAAGGCCAAUCAAACCGGGAGAUAGCUGGUUCUCCCCGAAAGCUAUUUAGGUAGCGCCUCGUGAAUUCAUCUCCGGGGGUAGAGCACUGUUUCGGCAAGGGGGUCAUCCCGACUUACCAACCCGAUGCAAACUGCGAAUACCGGAGAAUGUUAUCACGGGAGACACACGGCGGGUGCUAACGUCCGUCGUGAAGAGGGAAACAACCCAGACCGCCAGCUAAGGUCCCAAAGUCAUGGUUAAGUGGGAAACGAUGUGGGAAGGCCCAGACAGCCAGGAUGUUGGCUUAGAAGCAGCCAUCAUUUAAAGAAAGCGUAAUAGCUCACUGGUCGAGUCGGCCUGCGCGGAAGAUGUAACGGGGCUAAACCAUGCACCGAAGCUGCGGCAGCGAC